GAGAUGCCUUGAGUGAAGGGACACAGCUCAUGAUGUAUCGGAGUGUUGUAUUCAGACCUUUGGGCACUGAUUAGUAGCUCUCGGGGUUGAAACUCCUUCACCGGGCAUGGUAAUGAAGUGAUACACCUACCCUGGAAAAACAGGUUGGUGGUAGUUCUGUAGCUGAGUGCCUGUGGGUUAAUAUUAGUUAAAACAGACCUAUAAAGGGAACUCAAGAGCUUGAAAUGCUUCUGAGGGAAGCAUAGUCCUGGUGGAUUUGCUGCUCAAAGGCAUGGUAUCUCUAGUGCUUGCUGUGCUCAGGGUUGCCUUCAGCAGUGGCUCAAGCCUUGGGCUGCAGAGCUGCUCAGGGAGCCUUGCUGUGAAGGUUGGGAAUAGGCAACAACAGGACUGAUGCAGUUCAUUUAGGGGCUGUGCAAGGAACUGACCGGUUUCCCUACACCAGGAAACUUGCCACCAUGUCAAGAGACUGCGUGGCCCAUCUGGGGCAGACAGUUUACCCACACGCCGUGAAUCUGUGCUGUCAGACAGGAUCCAGUCCGGCCUCUGCUCUGUUCUGCUUUAGCACAAAUGUCUGCAGCCAUCCUCACCCUGUGACAGGUAUAAGAAAUGGCUGCUUUUCUAUCCUCCCUUAUCUUGCCAAAGCCUGUCAGGACAAAGAGUUAGUCCUUGGGUUUCAAUUAAGACCUUCAUCGUCAUAAGACAGUAUUUCUCCUCUUGCCCCUCCCCUUCUGUUGCAGUCUGGAUGGUUAUUUUUCCCCAGCAGUGCUUUAUAACUCCACACAAGGUAAAUAGAUGCUGCAACAACUCAAGAUCUCUGAAAGAUCAGGCCCUGGAGAGUCCCAGCGUGCUCAGAGAAUCUAGGUCUUGGGUACAAGCAACCCAGACACCAGAUGGGCUGAUGAGAAGCUGAUGUGGCAUGAGCAGGCAGAGGAGUUUUGUAUUCCUUCCUUCUUGCCUUCCCUGAAGAUGCUGCAUCAAAUCAGCACAGCGCUCACACAGGUGCUGCAUGUUCCACUGUAGGAACCUAAAAAUACCACUGCAGCCAAAAAAACUGAUGUAAACCUUCAACUGCUCACAUGCAUCUGUCAGUGUGGACAUAAAACAGCAGGGACAUGUUGGAAGCUGGAAUAUACAUCCUGCAUUACAAAGUGCAAAAUACCACAUGCUUAGAGCCCAAGCAUGAUGUCUGAAACAGUCCACAGCAAGAUGUAAAGAGACAAACCCACCACCCUCGCCCUCCUCUCU